AGUUGUAAAAAGAAAACUAAAAAAAGAAUGGCUCCCAGCAUGGUUUCUGUACCGUUCAUACAGAAGGGUCCUACUCCUAUACAGUUUGAAGAGUAUUCAUCCAACAGUGGUACAGGAUGUUCGGUAAUAGAUCUUUCCUUUGCGGAGCCUGAAACCUUAGAGGAGGUAAUUAAUAAUUUAGGAUUGAUUGAUUGAUU